UAGUCGUUAUAUUCAGUUGCUGUGUGUUUGUAGCUUUGAUUAUUCCCUUGUCCUGUGCUCAUUUUUGCUUUGUUCCUAGUAUGUUUGUUUUGUGGUUCUUUUUAGUUAUUUCUUCUGUUUUUGGUCCUUUUAUUUUGUGCUUUAUCCUUUUAUGUUCAGUUUUGUUAAUAAGCCCCUUUUUCUUAGAGCCACUCUGUAACCAUGAGCCCUGGGUUUUCUCCAUCUGCCACUUCAAUCUCCAUGGCCUGUUGCAAGAUGUGUUCCAGGACCAAGGCCUGGCAGAUGGGGCCUGGUCCAGCUCAGCCCAGUAGAGGACGUCCUGUCCAUCGUAAUGUUCCUCCUGCUGUUAUGAGUGACUAUAUGCCAAACGCAGAACACCUCUCAGCUGUGCACAGCUAUACCCUCCACAGGCUACACGUGUGACUGAAAGCGAUAUACUCUUCCUUGCGGAUGACAUGUUGGGAGUUCACUGCCAUUCCGCUGGGUCUGUGGUGGACCAGCUGAUCUUCGAGUUGUCGGUCUCAGGAAGAACGAUAAGAUGUUUGUCACGUGAGUCGAGCAGAAGGGUAUAGGGCCAGAGGUGACAGUCUGGGUCAGACCUAGUAUAAACACAGACCUGAUAAAUGGGCCAAGUAGACAACCAGGAUUUACAGACUGAGCUGUUCCACCAAACUCUCAGACUCUCUGGCAAAUGAUAAACAGCAUACCUCACCAAUUCAACCUAAUGCAAUUUGAGAUAUAUAAUAUUAUUGAAAUUGAUUGAAAUUGCACAUGACAACCACUGAGGAAGACAUAGGGAGGUAUAAGUUUUCCAAAUAAGUGCCCUAAAUUGCUGUAAGUGUGAACUGAAGUCCUUUCAGUGCAAUUUCUGGGAUAUUUAUCAGUGUCCUGGAAACUCUGCUAGCCAAGUCUGGAAUUUCACCACCAGACUCUAGAGCUCUGAAUGCCUGGGUGGCAGGUCCAGGUCCAGGCAGACGUGGCCUUCCUGCUGAGGACAGAGAUGGGCUGCGGGAGCAUCUCCAGAUGUGACUGGUCCCUACAGACAUCGUUAACCCCCAGCUUUGGGGUUAUCUUCCUUCUGGCAUGCAUGUUGUGACAUUUUUGGGCACUGGAUGUAGGGAGAGGCACAGUCCACCUCUCACUGAAGGGACUGUAGGUUAUAUAUAAACUUUGUGCAUUCCAGUAGUUUCUGCAUCAGUGAGUCUUUGCAAUGGAAUCUUCUAUGAAUAAUAAGCCGUGUGAUCCCUCC